rnacentral:rRNA from 1 species
GAUGAACGCUGGCGGCGUGCUUAACACAUGCAAGUCGAACGGGAAUUAUUUUAUUGAAACUUCGGUCGAUUUAAUUUAAUUCUAGUGGCGGACGGGUGAGUAACGCGUGGGUAACCUGCCUUAUACAGGGGGAUAACAGUCAGAAAUGGCUGCUAAUACCGCAUAAGCGCACAGAGCUGCAUGGCUCAGUGUGAAAAACUCCGGUGGUAUAAGAUGGACCCGCGUUGGAUUAGCUUGUUGGCAGGGUAACGGCCUACCAAGGCGACGAUCCAUAGCCGGCCUGAGAGGGUGAACGGACACAUUGGGACUGAGACACGGCCCAGACUCCUACGGGAGGCAGCAGUGGGGAAUAUUGCACAAUGGGGGAAACCCUGAUGCAGCGACGCCGCGUGAAGGAAGAAGUAUCUCGGUAUGUAAACUUCUAUCAGCAGGGAAGAUAGUGACGGUACCUGACGAAGAAGCCCCGGCUAACUACGUG